rnacentral:rRNA from 1 species
GGAGAAUGUGGUUUAAUUGGAAGCAACGGGCAGAACCUUACCCAGCCCUUGACAUCCCGAUNGCGGAUACGAGAGAUCGUUUCCUUCAGUUAGGCUGGAUCGGUGACAGGUGCUGCAUGGCUGUCGUCAGCUCGUGUCGUGAGAUGUUGGGUUAAGUCCCGCAACGAGCGCAACCNUCGCCCUUAGUUGCCAUCAUUCAGUUGGGCACUCUAAGGGGACUGCCGGUGAUAAGCCGAGAGGAAGGUGGGGAUGACGUCAAGUCCUCAUGGCCCUUACGGGCUGGGCUACACACGUGCUACAAUGGUGGUGACAGUGGGCAGCGAGACCGCGAGGUCGAGCUAAUCUCCAAAAGCCAUCUCAGUUCGGAUUGCACUCUGCAACUCGAGUGCAUGAAGUUGGAAUCGCUAGUAAUCGUGGAUCAGAAUGCCACGGUGAAUACGUUCCCGGGCCUUGUACACACCGCCCGUCACACCAUGGGAGUUGGUUUUACCCGAAGGUGCUGUGCUAAC